GUGAUACCGCGAAUGGCUCAAUAUAUCAGUUACGGUUCCUUAGAACUCACUCAGUUACUUGGAUAACUGUGGCAAUUCUAGAGCUAAUACAUGCAAUCAGAACUCCUACCAGAAAUGGGAAAGAGUGCUCUUAUUAGAUCAAAACCAAUCGACGGAGGUUCCGACCGAUGUCGUUUGAUUUGAUGACUCUGGAUAACUAAUGCCGAUCGCACGGUCCCGUACCGGCGACGCAUCUUUCAAAUGUCUGCCUUAUCAACUUUCGAUGGUAGUCUAUGCGGCUACCAUGGUUGUAACGGGUAACGGGGAAUCAGGGUUCGAUUCCGGAGAGGGAGCCUGAGAAACGGCUACCACAUCCAAGGAAGGCAGCAGGCGCGCAAAUUACCCACUCCGGCACGGGGAGGUAGUGACGAAAAAUAACGAUACGGGACUCGCAUGAGGCCUCGUAAUCGGAAUGAGUACACUUUAAAAAUUUGUACAAGUAACAAUUGGAGGGCAAGUCUGGUGCCAGCAGCCGCGGUAAUUCCAGCUCCAAUAGCAUAUGCUAAAAUUGUUGCGGUUAAAAAGCUCGUAGUUGCAUUUGUGCGCCGCACUGUCGGUGCACCGCAAUCCGCGGUGACACUGAUACGUUGCGGAGCAUAUCGUCGGUGGG
rnacentral:rRNA from 1 species